rnacentral:lncRNA from 1 species
GGCCACUGAGGCCUCCCCGUUCGCCUCCCAGAGGCCGCCACUUUCUUCAGGGCUAUCAGAUGAAGGCAGCAACGAAAACACCACCACAAGACCAACUUCAGGCUGGAGCUGAUGAUGCCACACAGGGGCUUCCUGGAGCUCCUGCAACCCCAGGCAUUAGUUCCGGUGCAGUUCUAGGAUCAGAUCAAUUCACUCGACAACAAGAGAAACAAAUGGAGAUUCCUACACAAAGACUUUCAAGCACAAAGAAAUCCUGCUGCCUGUAAAGCGGAGCUGCCUCAGCCCUUGAUGAACGACAGAAAAUACCACCUACUGCCAGACCUCAACGCCUCACAAAACUCUCACCCACCUACUGCUUUUAGCUCACAUUCCAGGAAUUCAGAUGAAGUGAAGUGCUCUCAUGGGGACCAGGCAUGGUUAUGCCAGUCCACUGCCCUGCAAGCCUCAAGGGAAGCCAACUGCCCUUCAGCAAGUCACACCUGCCUUGGUGGAGGCCUUGAUUGGAAGUGCCACACGCUACAUGUCCAGUCCUGAGCGGGAGAAUCGGUGUAGGGACGUUCUGGGGAUGCCAGCUGUGGCCAGAUCAGGUCCAACUACAGAAGAAUAAUGAAGACUCCACCUGAGGGCUGGAAAAACAAAACCUCAAGUGUGAGGCAGCCAACCUGUUACCUCGAGGGACUGUUCCGCAGCACAGCGGGGCCAUGGGAACAGCAGCAGACACCCCGACCUCCUCGCUACCUGUGUGUGUAUUAACACGCCGGCCUCCUCGCUACCUGUGUGUGUAUUAACACGCCGGCCUCCUCGCUCCCUGUGUGUGUAUUAACACCCCGGCCUCCUCGCUCCCUGUGUGUGUAUUAACACGCCGGCCUCCUCGCUACC